GCCUGCUGUAAAAGCCUAGCAGGAACCAUCACACAACUAAGCCAGGAUGGUGAAGCACCAGCGCCCCCUGUCUGUAGCCAGCCUUGGGGGGGCAACCGAUGUCCGGAGUCCUUACCGCAUAGCAUUGCUACCCUGGAAUUCUGAGUGAAAGGAUUUUGCACAUUCUGAAGCCAUGCUGGAUUGCAAAGUGAAAAUUUGACAACAGUUUACUACAGCUCUGAGACAACUGAAGCAAAAUCAGGUGUGUUCGCCCGGUAGAUCAUAUUCAAAGCCAGCAGUGUGUGCCUCCAGGCUGUAGCCCUUUUCAGGCCCCUCAGAAUUUAGGGAUAAUGGUGUGUACUUCAGGAG
rnacentral:lncRNA from 1 species